rnacentral:rRNA from 1 species
AGAGUGAACGCUGGCGGUAGGCCUAACACAUGCAAGUCGAACGGCAGCACGGUAAGAGCUUGCUCUUAUGGGUGGCGAGUGGCGGACGGGUGAGGAAUACAUCGGAAUCUACCUUUUGGUGGGGGAUAACGUAGGGAAACUUACGCUAAUACCGCAUACGCCCGUUCGGGGGAAAGCCGGGGACCAGCAAUGGCCUGGCGCUGAUAGAUGAGCCGAUGUCGGAUUAGCUAGUUGGUGAGGUAAUGGCUCACCAAGGCGACGAUCCGUAGCUGGUCUGAGAGGAUGAUCGAGCCACACUGGAACUGAGACACGGUCCAGACUCCGUACGGGAGCAGCGAGGUGGGAAUAGUUGGACAAGUGGGC